CCUGAGAUAAUGUUCUAUUAAAUAAAAAUUUUUGUAAAAAAAAUUUUUUUAAGUCUCAGACCAUCCUGUCCCCUUUACUGCAAGAAUAUAUCAACUUCGCUUCGCCCGAAAUUUACUUUUCUUUCUUGUUUAAAAUUUAUGUAAGAAUAGGUCAACUUUUUUCGAUAUUUGCAAUACAUUAUAACUUCUCGCUAAGUUUCCCAUGGAACAUAUGUAUGCAUGUAGAGAAUGUUAUUUAUUAAAAAAUGUUUUCGUAUACGCAAUUACACGGUCUGCAUAACGCAGUUUAUGAUAAAAUUUAAUCAAUUUGUUCUUAGCUGUACCGCGGAAACUAAGGGUGAUAUAAUCUAUUUUCGGCUUUGGUUCAGAGGAGCACAAAAGCUCAGCAGAGCAGAUGAAUUUUUUAGCUGUUGGGCUGUGUAAUAAAUACAUGUUUUCAAGUCAAAUUUAUAGCGCUUUCAGAAUGUAGGCAAAUAAGAAAUAUACCAAAAUGGUCAUUUAAUUUAUAUAGCAUAUUUUCUGGCAAAAGCAUUCACAAACAAUUGGCAUUUAUACAUUUUUAUUUUAAUCACUGUGGACAGCAGUCCACGAUGCACUAUGGUCCAGACGACCCCUUUUGUUGGACAAAAUUCAAAUUUUAAAAGUUAAAAUAUCGAAGUCUUUUUAAUCGCAUUUUAUUCGGAGAAGACCGACUAUCAAUGCUGCAUACUAAAAAUUUUUAUAGAUGGCGCCACAUUCACGAAAUCGGAACUUAAACUCAGCUGGUCAUACUGAAAAAAGUUUGAAGUGUAAAAGUGAAAAAAAAAGAGUCUUUUUCAACAUCACAUUGCGCAAAAAAUACAACAAUUUUACCAAUCUUUAGACAUGAAUAAGAUUCAGUGGGGUUUGUACUACGUGUUGUGUAUAAUGAAAUGUUAUAUAUUGUUGUGGUGUCUUCGUAGUUAUAUGUUAAAGUGAAUCGUCUGAACUGUGAAAAUUGUGUAGAAAUCUCGUUUUUAAAAAGCUGUAGAAAGUGAGUCCAGCCUAGUCCAACCUUGAAACCUUUUCUCAUAACCUAAAAUUCGACAACUCAGAAUUGUUUGAAAUAUGGAAGUCUGUGAAGACCCAAGAACAAAAGUACAAAGCAAUUCUUGAUUUUUUUAAAUCUAAAACUAGUGGCGAAAUAUUUGAGAAAAAAAUGCAAGCUUUUGAGGAUGCCAGUAAGAAAAUAUGCUACCGUUUAACGGUAAAAUGGAAGAAUUGCAGAUCGAAUGCAAAGCUAUUUCAAAGGAGACAUUCCGAUUGGCUCUGUUCACAAACUUGUAUUCCGGUUGGAAGGAGAAAACAUUCAAUAGGACGCCCUGUACUAGACUACUUAGAAAAAUCUCGAAGGGCUCAAAGAAAACAGGUAGCAGAUCUUGUGGUGUCUGAAGGGGGAAACACAAGUUUAUUAAUUCAAUCGGCUAGCAUGGCCGCACGAAAACAGGGUAAACACGAUCUUGCAUUUGUGCUAAAGUUGUUAUCCUUAUGCCCAGAAAAGGCCCUACACAUUCGCAAAGCUAUUUCAGCUCCGAUUUCAAAGCCGAAACUAAUUUUGCCAAACGAAGCAUUAGCUUUGCUCCUUGAUAAAAAUCUUAGCAAAGAGCAGUAUUGCGCAAUAAGAGAGCAAACUAAAAAGAACAAUUUAGACAUAUACCCUACGUAUAACAAAAUUUUGUUAUUUUGGAG